rnacentral:rRNA from 1 species
UACGUAGGGUGCGAGCGUUAAUCGGAAUUACUGGGCGUAAAGCGUGCGCAGGCGGUUUGUUAAGACAGAUGUGAAAUCCCCGGGCUCAACCCGGGAACUGCGUCCGAUACUGGGAGGCUUGAAUCCGGGAGAGGGAUGCGGAAUUCCAGGUGUAGCGGUGAAAUGCGUAGAUAUCUGGAGGAACACCGGUGGCGAAGGCGGCAUCCUGGACCGGCAUUGACGCUGAGGCGCGAAAGCUAGGGGAGCAAACAGG